UACGUAGGGUGCAAGCGUUGUCCGGAUUUACUGGGCGUAAAGGGCGCGUAGGCGGCCUGUUAAGUGUGGUGUGAAAUCUCCAGGGCUCAACCCGGAAACUGCACCGCAUACUGGCAGACUUGAGAGAGGUAGAGGUAGAUAGAAUUCCCGGUGUAACGGUGACAUGUAUAGAUAUCGGGAGGAAUACCAAUGGCGAAGGCAGUCUACUGGACCUCUUCUGACGCUGAGGCGCGAAAGCGUGGGUAGCAAACAGG
rnacentral:rRNA from 1 species